rnacentral:rRNA from 1 species
GACGAACGCUGGCGGCGUGCUUAACACAUGCAAGUCGAACGGAAAGGCCCUGCUUUUGUGGGGUGCUCGAGUGGCGAACGGGUGAGUAACACGUGAGUAACCUGCCCUUGACUUUGGGAUAACUUCAGGAAACUGGGGCUAAUACCGGCUAGGAGCUCCUGCUGCAUGGUGGGGGUUGGAAAGUUUCGGCGGUUGGGGAUGGACUCGCGGCUUAUCAGCUUGUUGGUGGGGUAGUGGCUGACCAAGGCUUUGACGGGUAGCCGGCCUGAGAGGGCGACCGGCCACAUUGGGACUGAGAUACGGCCCAGACUCCUACGGUAGGCAGCAGUGGGGAAUAUUGCACAAUGGGCGGAAGCCUGAUGCAGCAACGCAGCGUGCGGGAUGACGGCCUUCGGGUUGUAAACCGCUUUCGCCUGUGACGAAGCGUGAGUGACGGUAAUGGGUAAAGAAGCACCGGCUAACUACGUG